rnacentral:rRNA from 1 species
CUACGGGAGGCUCCAGCAAGGAAUAUUGUGCAAUGGGCGAAAGCCUGACACAGCGACGCCGCGUGAGGGAAGAAGGCCUUCGGGUUGUAAACCCCUUUUCUUGGGGAAGAAUAAUGACGGUACCUGAGGAAGAAGUCACGGCUAACUACGUGCCAGCAGCCGCGGUAAUACGUAGGUGGCAAGCGUUAUCCGGAUUUACUGGGUGUAAAGAGGGCGCGGGCGGCUUUUCAAGUCGAAUAUAAAAUCUCCCGGCUGAACUGGGAGGGAUUAUUCGAUACUGUUGGGCUAGAGAGCAGCAGGGGGAGGUGGAAUUCCCGGUGUAGUGGUGAAAUGCGUAGAUAUCGGGAGGAACACCAGUGGCGAAGGCGGCCUCCUGGGCUGUUGCUGACGCUGAGGCCCGAAAGCGUGGGGAGCAAACAGGAUUAGAUACCCGUGUAGUC